GCUAAUGAUGAAGACUGUGCCAUACACAUUCAUGGCUGAGUAUCUAAUUGUUACAUUGUUAUAUAUCAUUUCUAGAAAUUAAAUGCCCAUGUUUGGGCAGCUAAAUAUAUUAUUAUCUGCACAUUUUUAUGGUUUAUUUAUGUACACUGCUGUGAAGACAUGGUAUUUUUAUUUCUCUUAUUGCAAGGUCUUUUAUAGUCGCCCAUUUUCUCUUGGAAAAAAAAAAGAGAGGAUCAGAAUUAUUUUUUUAGAUGUGUAGCAGUAAUGCUCUCAGGCUUAUAACUUAAUUCUCAUUUUUAUCCUUUUUACAUUAUUAUUUAGUGAUUCACAGGGGUGUCUAAACAUUUACAGUUCUCUGUUAGCAGCAUUUCUUUUAUAACAAUUGAGCUCUCUCAUUUUAAUGAGUACUAUUCAGGUUUUUGAUUCUGUACAAUUACAGUGGGCCACAUGUCUUUAGACUUCUUUGCUAACAUUGUUUGUUUCACUUCUAUCCAAGCCAAUCUAAUCCAAAUACAAUGUGAACUGUGUUUUCUUACUGCUUAACAUCCCCUUGCUAUAUAUACUCUAGUAAUCUCUGUAGAACAAUAUACAGUAAUUUAGAAACCA
ensembl:lncRNA novel transcript